rnacentral:rRNA from 1 species
UAGGGAAUCUUCCGCAAUGGACGCAAGUCUGACGGAGCAACGCCGCGUGAGUGAAGAAGGAUUUCGGUUCGUAAAACUCUGUUGUUAGAGAAGAACAGCGCAUAGAGUAACUGUUAUGCGUGUGACGGUAUCUAACCAGAAAGCCACGGCUAACUACGUGCCAGCAGCCGCGGUAAUACGUAGGUGGCAAGCGUUUUCCGGAUUUAUUGGGCGUAAAGCGAGCGCAGGCGGUUAGAAAAGUCUGAAGUGAAAGGCAGUGGCUCAACCAUUGGAGGCUUUGGAAACUGUUUAACUUGAGUGCAGAAGGGGAGAGUGGAAUUCCAUGUGUAGCAGUGAAAUGCGUAGAUAUAUGGAGGAACACCGGUGGCGAAAGCGGCUCUCUGGUCUGUAACUGACGCUGAGGCUCGAAAGCGUGGGGAGCGAACAGG